rnacentral:tRNA from 1 species
GGAGGCUUCGCCUAGUCUGGCCUAGGGCGCGGCACUGCUAAUGCCGUUGAGGACGUGGUCCUCUCGAGGGUUCGAAUCCCUCAGCCUCCG